rnacentral:misc_RNA from 1 species
GAAAUGCGAUAAGUAGUGUGAAUUGCAGAAUUCAGUGAAUCAUCGAAUCUUUGAACGCACAUUGCGCCCCUUGGUAUUCCAUGGGGCAUGCCUGUUCGAGCGUCAUUUGUACCCUCAAGCUCUGCUUGGUGUUGGGUGUUUGUCCCCGUCUCCGCGCGUGGACUCGCCCCAAAGUGAUUGGCAGCCGGCAUACUGGUCCCGGAGCGCAGCACAUGUCGCGCAAACGAGUGCCUUGGUACGGCGGCGUCCAUAAGCCCCUCUCUCACGCUCUUGACCUCGGAUCAGGUAGGGAUACCCGCUGAACUUAAGC